UAGGUUUGUCCUAAGUCAAAGUUAUCCAACUUUGACCAAAUUUAUAGAAAAAUAUAACAACAUCCAUACUACCAAAUAUAUGCUCUAUCAAAAUAUAUUCCAUGAUGAAUUUAGUGAAACAAAUUUGAUAUUGUAGAUGUUGUUAUAUUUUUCUAUAAACUUGGUCAAAGUUUGACAAGUUUGACUUAGGACAAACCUAA
rfam:Setaria italica strain Yugu1 chromosome V, whole genome shotgun sequence.